UACGUAGGGUGCGAGCGUUGUCCGGAAUUAUUGGGCGUAAAGAGCUUGUAGGUGGUUUGUCGCGUCUGCUGUGAAAAUCCGAGGCUCAACCUCGGACUUGCAGUGGGUACGGGCAGGCUAGAGUGUGGUAGGGGAGACUGGAAUUCCUGGUGUAGCGGUGAAAUGCGCAGAUAUCUGGAGGAACACCGGUGGCGAAGGCGGCAUUCUGGACCAUAACUGACACUGAG
rnacentral:rRNA from 1 species